CGACUUAGAGCGAUGAGGGACAGGCUCAGCCUAAGCGACGACGGGAAUGGUUUGACUUGGCGGUGCAUGGGUUAGCUGACUCCCUAGGGUUUCUGGAAAUCCCACAGUAGUUGGGCUUGCUAUCUUGGGCCUUGGUGCGAUUUUAGGGCCCGUUGAUCUUUUGUAAUUAGGUCUAGCUUGGGCUUUGUAAUCUGGA